rnacentral:rRNA from 1 species
UACGAAGGGGGCUAGCGUUGCUCGGAAUCACUGGGCGUAAAGGGUGCGUAGGCGGGUCUUUAAGUCAGGGGUGAAAUCCUGGAGCUCAACUCCAGAACUGCCUUUAAUACUGAGGAUCUUGAGUUCGGGAGAGGUGAGUGGAAUUCCCAGUGUAGAGGUGAAAUUCGUAGAUAUUGGGAAGAACACCAGUGGCGAAGGCGGCUCACUGGCCCGUAACUGACGCUGAGGUGCGAAAGCGUGGGGAGCAAACAGG